UCUUCCUUGUCUCCUUGGUGUUGGCUC
rnacentral:piRNA from 1 species